UACGUAGGGUGCAAGCGUUUAAUCGGAAUUACUGGGGCGUAAAGCGUGCGCAGGCGGUUUUGUAAGACUGUCGUGAAAUCCCCGGGCUCAACCUGGGAAUGGCGAUGGUGACUGCAAGGCUAGAGUUUGGCAGAGGGGGGUAGAAUUCCACGGUGUAGCAGUGAAAUGCGUAGAUAUGUGGAGGAACACCGAUGGCGAAGGCAGCCCCCUGGGUCAAAACUGACGCUCAUGCACGAAAGCGUGGGGAGCAAACAGG
rnacentral:rRNA from 1 species